UGUUUCACUCGAUUACUCAAGUGUUUAAGGUAGCACUCCAACACUCUAUCAUUCACAAGUCACAUGAAACAAAAUUGUCAUUCAUCUAAAACAACCAAAAUUCUUACAUGCAAAUGCCAUCAAAAGGACUUUUCCAAGGCUUGUAAUGAGGCUGGGCUAACAAGAAAAUUGGUUUUUCUGGAAUGCAAAGUCCUUGAGUUCAGAGAGCUAUCAUAAUAUCAACAUUCAAGCACGACUCUCUUCCUCACCAAUCUCUCUUAUUCCCAACUUUUUCCCUUUUCUUUUGCACUGAGCCCCUCUUCAUGGUUUUCUUCUUUUCUUUUCUUUUUCUCAUGUAUUUUUCUUUCACACAUUUGAGCUCAAUGCUUUUCAAGUGCCUUCCAAUUUCCCCCAUGCAAC
rnacentral:lncRNA from 1 species